AAUGAACGUUGGCGGCGUGGAUUAGGCAUGCAAGUCGAGCGAGAACCGUAGCAAUACGGGGACAGCGGCGAAAGGGACAGUAAUGUGUAGGUACCUACCCCCGGGUUCGGGAUAGCUGCGGGAAACUGCAGGUAAUGCCGAAUAAUGUCUUCGGACCAAAGGUGUGAUUCCACCUGGGGAGGGGCCUGCAUCCUAUUAGCUUGUUGGUGGGGUAACGGCUUACCAAGGCGACGAUGGGUAGCGGGUGUGAGAGCAUGACCCGCGUCAUUGGGACUGAGACACUGCCCAAACACCUACGGGUGGCUGCAGUCGAGGAUCUUCGGCAAUGGGCGCAAGCCUGACCGAGCGACGCCGCGUGCGGGAUGAAGGCCUUCGGGUUGUAAACCGCUGUCGUAGAGGAGGAAAUGCAGGAGGGUUCUCCCUUCUGUUUGACCUAUUCUAGGAGGAAGUACGGGCUAAGUUCGUGCCAGCAGCCGCAGUAA
rnacentral:rRNA from 1 species